CCUACGGGAGGCUGCAGUGGGGAAUAUUGGACAAUGGGCGAAAGCCUGAUCCAGCCAUGCCGCGUGUGUGAAGAAGGCCUUCGGGUUGUAAAGCACUUUCAGUGGGGAAGAAAGCCUUGGGGCUAAUACCCUCGAGGAAGGACAUCACCCACAGAAGAAGCACCGGCUAACUCCGUGCCAGCAGCCGCGGUAAUACGGAGGGUGCGAGCGUUAAUCGGAAUUACUGGGCGUAAAGCGCGCGUAGGCGGUCUGAUAAGCCGGUUGUGAAAGCCCCGGGCUCAACCUGGGAACGGCAUCCGGAACUGUCAGGCUAGAGUGCAGUAGAGGAAGGUAGAAUUCCCGGGGUAGCGGUGAAAUGCGUAGAGAUCGGGAGGAAUACCAGUGGCGAAGGCGGCCUUCUGGACUGACACUGACGCUGAGGUGCGAAAGCGUGGGUAGCAAACAGGAUUAGAUACCCGUGUAGUC
rnacentral:rRNA from 1 species